ensembl:rRNA LOC120102646 5.8S ribosomal RNA
ACCGAAACGCUGUGGGUCACUUGGUUCAUGCGUCCAUGAAGAACGCAGCUAGCUUUCGAGAAUUAAUGUGAAUUGCAGGACACCUUGAUCAUGGACAUUUUGAAAGCACUUGUGGCCCUGGGUUCCUCCUGGGGCUACACCUGUCUGAUAGUCU